AUUAGAAUUUUUCCCAUAAAAAUUAAUGAGCGAUCCCCAUAAUGAGAUGUUUAUCUGACUUGUGUGUGUGUGUGUGUAUGCAUGUAUAGGAUAAAGAUCUUUUUCACACUAUUCGCAAAGAAAAAUAUUACACUGGAAAGUGUGGAAAGUGUACCAGCACAGGUGUGUUCAUGCUUGAUGAAUGAGGAUAAUGAGAGUUUCAGCACUAUUUCCGGUCAUGACCCCAGUGCAUUACUGGUGACCUCCAUCAUCUGUUUAUGGGAAUGUUUUGCUGACUCUAUUAUCAUCGCCAAUAAGAAAGAGCUUUAACGCACUUUCACAUUAACAUAUCAAUGCAUACUGUGAAGAGCAAAAGUGGAAAGGCUUGAUCUGAGCGAGAUGAUGCAUUGAACUCCCAGCAAUAGUGCUACAACCCAGGUGUGCUUUUAAUUUAAUGGGAAUGUUAAAAUGUGAUAUGUAAUUAAGCGUAAAUUCAUUAUAAUCGAUAUUGAUGCUGACUGGUGCAGGAAUGUGCUUAACUUCGUUGUUGUGUAUGAUCCAGCGUUGUUGACAAUCUGUAAAGCUUAAAUAAAUAUGACCAUGAGAUGGGAUGGACUAGAUUCUCCAUGUACUUUGCAUUAUCAGUCAUCAUGUAGGAUGUUUUCUGUCUCUCUCCCUGGGAAUAGGAACCUCAUGUCCCUUCCUGUUCCCACUCUCACCCUCAGAUAAAUCCCCCCCUUCCUUCCCAACAUUCCCAUGUGGUCCUGUUCUCUAUCUGUCAUGCAGAUAGUUAGUUAUUAGUAGAUAGAUAGUUAUUAGUUAACUUUCUCUAUUAACAGCACCAAAGAUUUACAGUCCUAUUUUUACACGUGUAAUGCAAUCAGUAUGAAGGGUAGUGUCAUUCAUAUUUGGAAACGCACAUAUAUUUUGGAUCGCCUUUUCAAUUCUGAUGCAGUCUUCUGAUCUGAAGGUGUUAUAUUCAGUUCCGUUUCCCUUUUAAAAACUAGGAAAUAAUCCUUUUCUGUUGAACAUUGGUUAGUGUUUCCAGUGUGUUUCUGAUCUUAUGUUCAGUGCCAAGAUUUUGCUGUGAGGUUGUCAACCUUUAACCCACGAGCAGCACACAAGACAAGCCGACCACUAAACAACAGGAAAAUGUAAUCGAUUUCCGCCAGAUGGGAGCAGACACAACCUCUGAAGAUCGAGAAAAGGGAACGCAGCCCUGAGAUUGAAGACGUCGCUCCUGCAGCCGCCUCAAUUCAUUCCCAAUAGCAAAGUUGUACAUUGACAGGAUCCAAAAGAUCAGACAAAGGGCCCAAAUUAUUUAAUGGAUGAAUAACCAAUCCAACUGAGUGAGACUAACAUGGUGCAGUUGUGAAACUUUGGGCAUUCCUCUCUGCAUAUUAUACAAUAAAACCCCUAAAGGAGACAGAGGGAUGGGGGUGUAUUGGAACCACUGGGAUGAACAGAACAUGAGCACAUACAGACAUCCCUAGAGUUCCAUUAAUCUUUAAAUCCUAAUGUUUGUAUCAUGAAGGGUUCAGUGUGUGUAUAUAGUGUAUGUUUCUUUAUUGUUUUGGUCAUUUUUAUGUUGUGGGCAACAAAUGUGAAGCUGAAAGUUUUACCUUGUGGGGACCAUGUUUUUGGUUCUUACUAGGAAAAAGUCAAUUUUAUAAAAAUCUGUGAAUGCAAUCAAAGAAUUAAAAAUGCCAGA